rnacentral:sRNA from 1 species
GGAAUUUCUCACGCUCGCGGCACGCGUCUGAACGGGGCCACCUCAGGGGACCCAGCAGCUACCGACCCAAAGAACCGUUCCGGUCUCAUCCGCCCUCUGUACGGAUGCCUUCGAGCUCACUGUCCGAAAGCAGUCCCCGGCCGUCUUUCUGGGAGCGGAGCCACCUCGCCUUGGACCGUUUCCGCUUUCGAGGCAGGCCUUACCGGGGUGGGAGUCGCUGGAGUCGGGGACGAGGAGUGGGUGAGCGAGGAGGCAAGCCGGGGUGCAGACCUCCUCUGGGAGGAGGAGCAGGAUCCGGGUUCAGCAGCAGUCAGAGCUGGCGAGAGCCCUCUCCACCUCGGAAGAGCUGUAUCCUUAACGUGGCGGUCGGCGCUGGAUGCUGCACUUAAAAGGAUGCUUGUUUUGAUCUUCUGCUCAUUGUUUUCCUCAUGAACCAAAAGUUUUGGAAGGUCUCCAUCAAGAAAACAAAAUUAUUCAUCAAAAAAUGAAAACUCUGUGGAAGAAACUUUUGAAGAUUUGCUUUUAAAAUAUAAGCAAAUACAGUUGGAACUAGAAUGCAUCAAUAAGGAUGAAAAACUAGCAUUGAGUAGCAAAGAAGAGAAUGUGCAGGAAGAUCCUAAAACAUUGAACUUUGAGGACCAAACUAGCACUGAUAAUGUCAGUAUUACAAAGGAUUCAAGUAAAGAAGUAGCUCCUGAGGAGAAAACACAAGUCAAAACUUUUCAGGCAUUUGAAUUAAAACCACUCAGGCAAAAAUUGACUUUACCAGGAGAUAAGAACCGUUUGAAAAAAGUUAAAGAUGGAGCAAAACCACUUUCCCUGAAAUCCGACACUACUGAUUCUAGUCAAGGU